rnacentral:rRNA from 1 species
CCUGGCUCAGGAUGAACGCUGGCGGCAGGCUUAACACAUGCAAGUCGAACGGUAACAUAAAGAAGCUUGUUCUUUUGCUGACGAGUGGCGGACGGGUGAGUAAUGCUUGGGAAUCUAGCUUAUGGAGGGGGAUAACUACGGGAAACUGUAGCUAAUACCGCGUAAUAUCGAGAGAUGAAAGUGUGGGACCUUCGGGCCACAUGCCAUAGGAUGAGCCCAAGUGGGAUUAGGUAGUUGGUGAGGUAAAGGCUCACCAAGCCGACGAUCUCUAGCUGGUCUGAGAGGAUGACCAGCCACACUGGGACUGAGACACGGCCCAGACUCCUACGG